GUUUUUGUCUCACAUAGGCAGAAGAGCACACACUUAAUUCGUGUGAAUUAAAAAAUAGAAAGACGAACUGUAGAAAAAAAACCUAAUAAUAUCUGCUCACAUGGGAAGCGACUCAGCAAGUUACAGGUAAUUAUUGACGCCUAUUUUGUCCCGAGGCAUUUGAACGCAUCAGCCAACCCGGCGUUGUUUUGCUUGAGAGAGCCAACAUGGCGGCUGCUGGCGAGUCACUGGAGUCUUGGCUAAACAAAGCCACCGCUCCUUCCAACCGACAAGAAGAGUGGGAGUAUGUUAUGGCAUUCUGUGACCAAAUCAACAAGGAGCUUGAGGGACCCCAAAUAUCUGUACGACUGUUGGUACACAAGAUCCAUUCACCGCAGGAAUGGGAGGCACUGCAAGCCUUGACGGUUCUUGAGGCCUGUAUGAAGAACUGCGGCCAAAGGUUUCAGAAUGAAGUGGGAAGAUUCCGUUUUUUAAAUGAACUUAUUAAAGUCAUAUCCCCCAAAUAUCUAGGAGACAACGUGUCUGAGAAGGUGAAGUCAAAAGUAAUUAAAAUGAUAUACAGCUGGACCAUUUAUCUUCCUGAGGAAACCAAAAUUUGUGAGGCUUACCAGAUGCUGAAGACUCAGGGUAUUGUAUUAGCUGACCCUGAGAUCCCUUCCGAUGCUACAUUAGUCCCAUCUUCAUCUGAGAGGCCCAAGAAUCCAGUGUUUAAUGAUGAGCAGAAAAGUAAAAAGUUAGCAGAGCUGCUUAAAAGCAAAAAGCAUUCUGAUCUGCAGGAGGCCAAUCAACUCAUCAAGAACAUGGUUAAAGAGGAUGAAGUGAGGUCACAGAAAGUGUCCAAGCAGAGUAGCACACUGGAGGCAGUCAACAACCGUGUCAAACUCCUUAAUGAGAUGCUUACUUACUUUAGUCCUGGAGCCUCUGCUGAUGUUGACAAGGACCUCAUUAGGGAGUUGUACAGUGACUGUGACAAGCUCAGACAAACGGUGUGUCAGCUCGCUACAGAGACAGAUGAUGACGACACUUACUUGGGAGACAUCCUGCAGGCCAAUGAUGACCUCUCCAAUGUUCUUAAUUCUUAUAAGAAGAUUAUGGAAGGCACUACUAGCAAUGGAGAGACUAAAACUCUAUCAGGCACCAGCUUCACGGCUCAGUCUGAGAGUCUGAUUGAUUUGAUGGAUGUGGACGACACCAUUUUUUCCCAACUAGGAAAGCCACCUGUUACAUCACCUGCAUCUUCACAUGUUGACCUUCUGUGUGGACCCAUUGUGGCUGAAGCAGAGUCGGGCACAACCUCUGCGUCAUUCUCUAUGCUAGAUGAAGAGCUGCUGUCCUUAGGUCCUGCAUUCUGUGCGAUUCCUCCCUCUGUCUUCGGCUCGGUGUUCCCUAGUGCUCCGCCGGCAGCUUUCAUGCUCCAGCAACCACCAGAUGGCCCGGUUUCAAGCUCAACAGUGCCAGCGCACAGCACAGGGAAGUCGCCUCCAACAACAAUCAAUGUCACCGCGUCACAGGUCUCCUCUGCAGCACAAUCGUCCAAGUCUGAACCCGCCUCUACAGGUGACAUUCUACAAGAUGUGGCCCUGCUUGAUUUCAGCAGUCCUAAAAGUUUACCCAAGGCACACUUUGACAACACGCAAGCCAAGCGUGAUGAUCCGUGUUCUCCUGCCAACCCCAUGUGCCAAAGCGGUGUGCCAGUGGCGACCAACUGCCCGCCAGCCAGAUGCCAUGACGAGAAUGCUCUGUUACACUCCCACAACCCUUUUGUCACAAAGAACCGCACUAAUUCAGCCGGGGGAGAGGAGACGUCCUUUGCUAAUGUUUUUGUACCAUUGGAGGCUGUCAGACCAAGUAAGCUGUGUCCCAUUACAGCGUACGACAAGAGCGGCGUUCGUGUGCUGCUACAUUUUUCUAGCGACUGUCCCCCUGGCUGCCCUGAUGUUUUGGUGAUUGUUGCGUCCGUGCUAAAUACAUCUCCUCUCCCUGUCUGUGACUUUGUACUGCAGGCUGCAGUUCCCAAGCUUGUCCCUUUUGGGGUCGCGGAAGCCUAUCUCAGCUGCAUUUGGGCGGAAGGCCGGGUACACCCUGGACAAGUCGCUCCUCAUCGCAGGGCCAACCCAGACAGACAACAUUCACACUCACAUUCACACUCUACAUGGAAGUUUAUUUAAAAGCCAAAAUGAUGACUAAAGUGCUGAAGCUGUAUUAUCAUUUGCACUUUAAUGUUAUUUACAGUUUGUUUGAGAAACAUAGGCAUGGCGUAGUGGGUAGAGCGCCCGUGCCAGAAACCUGAGGGUUGCAGGUUCGCUUCCCACCUAUUAACAUCAAAGUCGCUGCCGUUGUGUCCUUUGGCAGGACACUUCACCCUUUGUCCCCGGUGCCGCUCACACUGGUGAAUGAAUGAUAAAUGAAUGAUUGGUGGUGGUCGGAGGGGCCGUAGGUACAAACUGGCAGCCACGCUUCCGUCAGUCUACCCCAGGGCAGCUGUGGCUACAGGUGUAGCUUACCACCACCAGGUGUGAAUGAAUGAUGGGUUCCCACUUCUCUGUGAGCGCUUUGAGUAUCUAACAAUAGAAAAGCGCGAUAUAAAUCUAAUCCAUUAUUAUUAUUAUUAUUAUAUUAUUGAUUUAGUUGUUUAUUUUAGCACAACAUAAUUGUAUGUACAUGUAUUUUUGUCAGUUAUUUAUGGAUCCCUUCUUAUGCAGUAUAUUUGGGGAGUAUUUAUUUUUCUAAUCAGCCUGGCCUACGCCUAAAGCUAUGUUCACACUGGAGGGUUGGAUGUCCAAAAUUGGAUUUUGUCUCAAGUGAGUGCAAUCUGAUAAUAAUGACGUGAUAUGGCUACAGUGUUUUUACGGGAGCAGGGCUCCAAUUCUACUAGGUCACAGUCGUGGGGCAUUUGUGGCAAUUUUAAGGAUUUAGUGCAGUUAAAGCCAAUAUUUUCUAAAUUGAAUUUUUGCACGUAGCAGAUUAGGAAGGAAGCAAACAUUUUGAGUAGCGGAGUUCGUGGGACAUUUGUUAUGAUGACUGCUCUGAAGAGUGUGUUGGCAAGCAGUCGCUGACAGGAGUGGUCAAUCGUUGACGUGAGUUCCUAAAACACAUUCUUUUUGCCUAUUUUCUGCUCAUUUAUCAAUUAUUUAUUUUGCAACCAUCUGUUUUGGCAAAAAAUGAUGACGCCUAUUGUUCUUUGAUAACGUAUUGGUCGGAUGAAUGUGACUGCAGCGUUCACACUGCAGUCGUAUCGGAUACAUAUCCUAUUUAUAUCCACAUACGAAAGAGGCCUUGUUGGCAUUUGACAAUUUUGGAAUUGUACUGUUCAGACUACGGUCACAUACGGGCAAAAAAUUGGAAUUGACCUGCAGUGUGAACAAGGUCUAAGGUUUACGUAUGAAAUAAAUACUAACCUUUGUGAUCAACACAUGGUUUCAUAUUCUUUGACAAGUUGUAAACUGUAAAUAUAUUAAAUAUGAAUUAAUAACAAGAGUGAGGGUAAUUAACUAAUUGCGUAGUGGAAAAGUUUGGACUUGAGGUCAAAAUUGUUAAGAAUUCCAGCUCUAAUCAACAUUACUGCACGUUGCUUAUUACGAGGAUAACAAGAAAAUUGUUUCUAGCUUUCUGCUUUAAAAAGUCAAAAGAGAUUGUAUGGUGUCACAUGUUUCUUGCAGUCAUUCAGUUGUGCUUUGGUAAAAUAACAAACUGACAUCAUCACAAUCAUUCUGCUUGAUAAAAAAAAAAAAGGAGAUGAGUAGGACUGCCAUGUUGACAUGUGUUUGUGUGUUUUUCCUCCUUUAUUGAGACAAUGAAAGUGAGAUUGCAGCCACCCUCGGGUACACAGCUGGCUUCCUUCAACCCCAUCGCACCCCCCGCUACCAUCAGUCAAGUCAUACUGCUUUCAAAUCCACACAAGGAAAAAGUUCGCAUGAGGUUCAAGUUGACAUUCACGCUAGGAGAGC